rnacentral:rRNA from 1 species
UACGUAGGGUGCAAGCGUUGUCCGGAAUUAUUGGGCGUAAAGAGCUCGUAGGCGGUCUGUCGCGUCUGGUGUGAAAAUCCAGGGCUUAACCCUGGACCUGCAUCGGGUACGGGCAGACUAGAGUGCGGUAGGGGAGACUGGAAUUCCUGGUGUAGCGGUGGAAAUGCGCAGAUAUCAGGAGGAACACCAGUGGCGAAGGCGGAUCUCUGGGCCGUAACUGACGCUGAGGAGCGAAAGCUGGGGAGCGAACAG